GUACUGAUGAAGAGUCCCAAAAUAGGACGAAACAGCUGUCCAGUAC
rfam:Trichobilharzia regenti genome assembly, scaffold: TRE_scaffold0038008